UAAUACGUAGGGGGCGAGCGUUGUCCGGAUUUAUUGGGCGUAAAGAGCUCGUAGGCGGUUCGAUAAGUCGGAUGUGAAAUCUCCACGCUCAACGUGGAGGGGCCAUUCGAUACUGUCGUGACUCGAGUCCGGUAGGGGAGUGUGGAAUUCCCGGUGUAGCGGUGAAAUGCGCAGAGAUCGGGAGGAACACCCGUAGCGAAGGCGGCACUCUGGGCCGGUACUGACGCUGAGGAGCGAAAGCGUGGGGAGCAAACAGGAUUAGAUACCCUGGUAGUCCACGCCGUAAACGUUGGGCACUAGGUGUGGGACUCUAUCGACGGGUUCCGUGCCGUAGCUAACGCAUUAAGUGCCCCGCCUGGGGAGUACGGCCGCAAGGCUA
rnacentral:rRNA from 1 species